rnacentral:lncRNA from 1 species
UGGAAAAUUAAGGGCGUCCCAGUGUUUGCAGUUGUCGGGAGGGGUGAAGUAGACGAGGAAGGGGCAGUUGGACACACUAGCUGUACCUCACCUCUCUGACUUGAAACGGAUCUCGACUUCUGCCUUCCCUGUUUUAGCAUUAGGAGAGCCACCCCCUUUUCCCGCCCUCACAGUCUUCUCUAUCGAAAAUUGAAAAUCGUUAACUGGUGCCUUUCCCGGUACAGAGCCCCCACCUCAGCUGCUCCAAGUACUUACAAGGAUCCGCAGGGGGAGCGUGACACAGAGGGUCACGGAAAUGCUACCAAAGCAAUGCCAAGGAGGAUGUUCAUCUCUUGCCCGUCAAAAGUCUCUACAGCCUUGGUCCCGGAGGUACAUCCAGAACCUCUCGUCACUGCCACAUCCCUUCUAAGUUAUCAGCCGUCACUACUUGGAAGACGUCACCCACGUUCGCCGUGAAUCUGCUCUCCACCAAAUGCAAAACGGAACAACACAGCCUGGAACCCUGCAUUCUUCCUCCGUUUGCAUCCGUGUUCUAAAUAGGAUUUCAUUCACGUGUCACUGAACACCAAGGACCAUUUGUCUUUCCAACAGAAACCGAAAGGGCUUAUG